GGAUUCCUGGAAAUACUGUUCUU
rnacentral:ncRNA from 5 species